AUUAGAUUUAUUUAUUCCUCCUCCAUUACUGAGUUUCUGCCUGGAGCAGGUUAUAAAGCUAUAAGCAUGGAUAUAUAGUCACUUUCACUGAAGAUUCAUCUCCAUUGUGCAAUCCUCUAUCUCCGGUGAUCCCUCAAGUCAGUUACUGAGACCAGACUGGAUAAGCAAGCUGUGAUUCCUCUGGUUCAUUGAAGGAGGGAUUGGUUGAGAAAGCAGGUGAAAAAGGACAAGGGGUUAUUUACUGUGCAGCAAAAAUUCAGAUUAAGGACCAGACAUUCCAGUUUUGAUCCAUGGAGUUUUCUCCACUCCCUUGCUAAGGCAUAAGGUAGUAACCAGCAUCUUGAACUUGUGGGUGCUCCAAAGAUCAUUUUCAUAUGUUUAGAAACAACAGCAGCAUUGUUCACAAGCAGGCCCAGUCCCUCCUCUGCACAAAUAUGUUACUGUUCAGUUUCUGCCAGUAGCCCCAAAACCUCUCAGGAGGAAAUUGCAGCUGAGGAGGUAUAGAUAAUGCGGGUUUAAGCAGCAGGAGCAUUUAGGCGAAUUUCAGCUCAUGAAUCUGCAUGCACUUGGGGAGAGCAAAGGCUGAUUCCCAGCUUUGCUCUAUUUCCUGUCUUCCAAGAGACACACAAGGGAUCUGUGAGAUCUUGCAUGUGGGAAAUGGACGCAUGGUGCCUGCCCCCUGUAAAUGAAGCAGGGUGCAGCUUUACUCUACCAGAGCAGGUGCUCUCAGUUUGGCCAGGUAAGAGUGUGGGGGCAACACCUGACGAAUCCAAGCUUCCUGAAAGGCAGGAGAAAACAGUCUGGCAGGUGAGAGUUGCCAGAGCCCAGAAUGUGUUUCCUGGGGAAAGGCUGAUUGCAAGGAGAGCAGCAAGGAGAAUAUGCUUGAUGUCUCCAAGACAGAGAGGAUGGGCUGUUGUAUUAACUUAGAUGGAAGAAACAGGUCAAAGGUGUUAAUGUAAUAACAAAUCUAAUAACAAAUAGUCACUGUCCAAUAACAAAUAGUGUUAUACAAAGGUCAGAAUUUGUUGUACCAAGACCUUAGCCUGUUUCAGUAAUAUGGCAAAUACACUAUUAAAUAUCCUUUUAAUAAAGGUAAAGAUGGAAAAAAACUGUUAAGGAUUUGAAAUGUAAAAUACUAAGACCUUCAUUUUAAUGCAACCUUUGUUUCUUUUCACUUUAGGUGGAAAAAGAUUUAGAAAAGGAAAUAAAACUCUGUUUGACAGUAUCUUUGAUUAUAUCAAAGGUGGUAGUAAUUGGGCUUUUUUGGGAGGGGGAGACAAGACAGAGUGACAUUAACACAGUCCUUGAAUUAUAUAUUUAUAAAUGAUGUACUAGAAGAUUUACGUAGCAUUAAUGGAGGUGGGGAGAAGCUAUGGAGCAUGGUGGAUGGCAGCUCCUGGUUGCUUCCUGGGCUCUGCCUGGAGUGGAGGGGCCUGGGCUGCUGGCCAGCAGCUGCUCCCCAGGACUGGGAAAAUUGCUGCCCCCAUGUGGUCAUUCAUGAGCGUUACUACCCCGCUAUCACACAUCUCCCUUUCCAUUUGAUGUGAAACA